UGCAAAGUGAACUUCCUCACAGUCUGCUAUAAAGACUUGAUAUCAUGCUGUCAGUUGCAGCAGAAGAAGAGAAGCUCCCAUCAGAUCACCUUCAAUAGCAACCAUGUUCUCUGUAGCUCUGCUGCUGCUGCUGCGCUGCGGAUCCUGUGUGAAGUGUGAACAGUUGACCCAGCCAGCCUCUGUGACUGUGCAGCCAGGUCAACGUCUGACCAUCACCUGUCAGGUCUCUUAUUCUGUUAGCAGCUACUACACAGCUUGGAUCAGACAGCCUGCAGGGAAAGGACUGGAGUGGAUUGGAAUGAAAUAUACUGGAGAUUCAUACUACAAAGAUUCACUGAAGAACAAGUUCAGUAUCGACUUAGAGACUUCCAAUGGACAGAAUGUGCAGCCUGAAGACACUGCUGUUAGCUACUACAUGGACUGGAUCAGACAGGGUCCUGGAAAAAGACUGGGUUGCUACUAUCACUCAUACCAGUAG